UACGUAGGGUGCAAGCGUUAAUCGGAAUUACUGGGCGUAAAGAGCUUGUAGGCGGUUUGUCGCGUCUGCUGUGAAAUUUCGGGGCUCAACCCCGAACUUGCAGUGGGUACGGGCAGACUAGAGUGCGGUAGGGGAGACUGGAAUUCCUGGUGUAGCGGUGAAAUGCGCAGAUAUCAGGAGGAACACCGGUGGCGAAGGCGGGUCUCUGGGCCGUAACUGACGCUGAGGAGCGAAAGCGUGGGGAGCAAACAGG
rnacentral:rRNA from 1 species